UUUGAUUCUUUCGAGGACAGAUAAGAACAGUGGGAUUAAGAGAUAGAGAAGAGACCAGGAGAAAGGGGAAGGAAGAUAUACAAAAUGGCCAGAGAAAUGGAGGAAUCCUGUCUAAGCUUGGUGUACUUUGUGUAUUCCUGUUCUCUUCUGCAAUGGAUAGUCAAAGCUUGUGCUGGUUGCUUGGGCUUCUCGGGUUGUUGUCAUGAUCUCGAGGGUCCUCCUCAAGAAGAAGGGGAUGGUUCAUGUGAUGAUGCCAAGGAUCCUCCUGAAGAAGAUGAUGAUGGAACGGAUGCCAGAGUAGAUGGGUCCGCUAUCAGGACCAGGCGUUCAAGAAGGCCUUCAAAGCCACCACCAAGCGAAGGGAGAGGAGGCCAGACCAACUAAUAAGUUCCCAUCCAAGAAAGAGAACAGAAGAAAUCAACCUUAAAUCUAAGCUAUUGUAGGUGUGCGUGUUCUAGUAUCCAUCAGAGCGAGAUAACAGAAAGAAUAAACCUUAAAUCUAAACUAUUUUAGGUGUGCAUGGACUAGUAUGUAAGUUUAUGGGUACUUGAGUCAAAGUCUCUAAAUAUAUGUGUUAACCAACGCUGUUCAAAGAAAAUAUUGGAGAUGAAAUAGCUUUCUUUCUA